GGAGGCUGAACACACCUGCGGCGCGAAGGUGUCACCACUUCGUCCACAAGAUCAUCCACAAUCGUAGAGACAUGGUUCAUGAUCGGAGAGACAUUGUUGAGGAUGAGGGAGACAUCGUCCACGAUGAGAGAGCCUUUGACCAAGACAAAGGCCUCCAGGUGUCACCACUUCGUCCACAAGAUCAUCCACAAUCGUAGAGACAUGGUUCAUGAUCGGAGAGACAUUGUUGAGGAUGAGGGAGACAUCGUCCACGAUCAGAGACGUUGUCCAUGAUUGCAGAGACCUUGUCAAAGAUGAGAGAGACGUUGUCCAUGAUCAGAGCCAUUGUCCCAUGCUUCGUAGAGACCUUGCGAUAGAAUCGGCGGAGACGGGGGUCACCGAUUUGACGGCACUGCCCGCGAUCAUGGAGACAUUGUCAAUGAUCACAGAGACAGCGUCUAUGAUCUCAGAGACAUCGUCCACAAUCACAAAGACAUUGUCCAUGAUCGCAGAGACUUUGUCCAUAAUCUCAGAGACAUUGUCCGUGAUCACAGAGACCUAGUCCGCGAUCACAGAGAGCCUUUGACCAAGACAAAGGCCUCCAGGUGUCACCACUUCGUCCACAAGAUCAUCCACAAUCGUAGAGACAUGGUUCAUGAUCGGAGAGACAUUGUUGAGGAUGAGGGAGACAUCGUCCACGAUCAGAGACGUUGUCCAUGAUUGCAGAGACCUUGUCAAAGAUGAGAGAGACGUUGUCCAUGAUCAGAGCCAUUGUCCCAUGCUUCGUAGAGACCUUGCGAUAGAAUCGGCGGAGACGGGGGUCACCGAUUUGACGGCACUGCCCGCGAUCAUGGAAACAUUGUCAAUGAUCACAGAGACAGCGUCUAUGAUCUCAGAGACAUCGUCCACAAUCACAAAGACAUUGUCCAUGAUCGCAGAGACUUUGUCCAUAAUCUCAGAGACAUUGUCCGUGAUCACAGAGACCUAGUCCGCGAUCACAGAGAGCCUUUGACCAAGACAAAGGCCUCCAGGUGUCACCACUUCGUCCACAAGAUCAUCCACAAUCGUAGAGACAUGGUUCAUGAUCGGAGAGACAUUGUUGAGGAUGAGGGAGACAUCGUCCACGAUCAGAGACGUUGUCCAUGAUUGCAGAGACCUUGUCAAAGAUGAGAGAGACGUUGUCCAUGAUCAGAGCCAUUGUCCCAUGCUUCGUAGAGACCUUGCGAUAGAAUCGGCGGAGACGGGGGUCACCGAUUUGACGGCACUGCCCGCGAUCAUGGAGACAUUGUCAAUGAUCACAGAGACAGCGUCUAUGAUCUCAGAGACAUCGUCCACAAUCACAAAGACAUUGUCCAUGAUCGCAGAGACUUUGUCCAUAAUCUCAGAGACAUUGUCCGUGAUCACAGAGACCUAGUCCGCGAUCACAGAGAGCCUUUGACCAAGACAAAGGCCUCCAGGUAAUUCACAAACAGCUUUACAUCAACUCUC